ensembl:snoRNA SNORA62 Small nucleolar RNA SNORA62/SNORA6 family
GCUGCACACUAUUAAAGCUCAGGGUGGAGGCCAGUCGUGGCUCAUGAACUCUGAGUGUCGGAAGUGUGCUACAUCAAUGGCAGGAUUUUCGCUAACACCAGUAGAGCUUGCCUCUAUGACUGGAGUUUGGUAGUACUCGCUGCCACAUAG